rnacentral:lncRNA from 1 species
GUCUUUUUUCAGUUGUGUUUUUGAUAUCACCUCAUCUAAUAUUUUAAUUUUUGUUCCUAAAUUCAGAACUUUUUACUCCACACAGGCAGAUGAGAGUACAAAGCUUGACACCAAGGAUGUUAUGAAUCUUGAUACAAUAAAACAAAGAAAGGAGAUGAUAGCAACAGGAGACUUAAUAGGUUUAUUUCAUCAAUCUUUGACUUCAAUUACACUGAUAAUGAAUCUUGUCACUAUUGAUACUCUCUGUGACUGCAGUCACUAUAACUGGCACUAUAAUGGUCUUAACCAACACAGUAUUCAAAUGUCACAGACCAUUAUGAAUGUUACAGAAUGGAAAUUCAAGUUUGUGCACUCACAAGUUAUAUCAAAGUUGGAUGGCUCUACAUAUUGUAAAAUCAGUUUGUAAAACAAGAGUUGUUAGCUAUAGCAAAUACAUAUGGUUUUUAAUAUAAGGAAGAUAGGCUGGCCAAUCAUUUUAUGCCAAAAUGUUCAUUAAGUGGAGAUGUUUGUUAUUUGGUGUUACUUAUAGCAGAGUUAUGGUGUAUCUGUUAUUCUUAUAGCAUUUCUUUUUAUUGUAGCAAUAAAUAUAGAAAUAAGUCCAUAUUCAAU